rnacentral:rRNA from 1 species
UACGUAGGGACCAAGCGUUGUUCGGAUUUACUGGGCGUAAAGGGCGCGUAGGCGGCAAUUCAAGUCAGCUGUGAAAUCUCCGGGCUUAACUCGGAACGGUCAGCUGAUACUGCUUUGCUAGAGUGCAGAAGGGGCAAUCGGAAUUCUUGGUGUAGCGGUGAAAUGCGUAGAUAUCAAGAGGAACACCUGAGGUGAAGACGGGUUGCUGGGCUGACACUGACGCUGAGGCGCGAAAGCUAGGGUAGCGAACGGG